rnacentral:rRNA from 1 species
GUCCACGCCGUAAACGAUGGAUGCUAGCCGUCGGGGAGCUUGCUCUUCGGUGGCGCAGUUAACACUUUAAGCAUCCCGCCUGGGGAGUACGGUCGCAAGAUUAAACUCAAAGGAAUUGACGGGGCCCGCACAAGCGGUGGAGCAUGUGGUUUAAUUCGAAGCAACCCGCAGAACCUUACCAGCCCUUGACAUACCGGUCGCGAGAACCAGAGAUGGAUCUCUUCAGUUCGGCUGGACCGAGUACAGGUGCUGCAUGGCUGUCGU